GCUGGGCAUGGUGGUAUGUGCCUGGAGUGCCAGCUACUCAAGAAGCUAAGGCAGGAGGAUCACUUGAGUCCAAGUGUUCUGGGUUGUAAUGCACUAUGUCUAUCAGGUGUUUGCACUAAGUUCCACAUCAAUAUGGUGACCUCCCAGGAGUAGGAGACCACCAGGUUGCCUAUGAACUGACCAGAAUGGAAAUGGAGCAGGUCAAAACUCCCAUGCUGAUCAGUAGUGGGACUGUACCUGUGAAUAGCCACUGCAUUCCAGCCUGGGCAACACAGCAAGACCCUGUCUCUA
ensembl:misc_RNA Metazoa_SRP Metazoan signal recognition particle RNA